rnacentral:lncRNA from 1 species
CUCAAGACUCCUACUUCUAACCAACUCCUAAUAAGACUCCUACUCAAGACUCCUAUUACUUUACAACUCCUUAUUUUUCUCUAAGAAACAACCUCCUACAUGAAUGUCCCUCUCAAUUAGGAUUCUCCUAGCUAGAGUCCUAACAGAAUGUCCCUCUCAAUUAGGAUUCUCCUAGCUAGAGUCCUAACAGAAUGUCCCUCUCAAUUAGGACUCUCCUAGCUAGAGUCCUAACACUCUUGCCAA